AUGACUUUGAUCUGCGUCCUCAUCUGGACUCUCCUCUGCUGCUGCUUCACAGAGUCCAGAGGACAGAUCACAGUGACUCAGCCUGGAGCAGUGAGCUCUGCUGUGGGAGGAACUGUGAGCAUCAAGUGUAGGACCAGUCAGGAUGUUCAUGGCAACAACCAUUUAGCCUGGUACCAACAGAAAGAUGGAGGAGUUCCUAAACUCCUCAUUUACUAUGCUAGCACUCGGCAAUCAGGAAUUCCAGCUCGUUUUACAGGCAGUGGAUCAAACUCUGACUUCACUCUGACCAUCAGUGGAGUCCAGGCUGAAGAUGCAGCAGUUUAUUACUGUCAGAGUUUUCAUGUUAUCAACAGUCAAUAUGUGUGGACUUUUGGUGGAGGAACCAGACUGAAUGUUGGAAGUGAUACCCGCCCUGCCCUGAAGGUGCUGGGUCCCUCCAGUGAGGAGCUGAAACAGGGGAAGGCCACGCUCAUGUGUGUGGCCAACAAGGGCUUCCCCUCAGACUGGAGUCUGUCCUGGAAGGUGGAUGGCAGUGGCAGCAUCAGCUGGGAGGAGAGCAGGAGCCCCGUGGUGCAGGAGAAUGACGGCCUCUACAGCUGGAGCAGCACCCUGAGGCUCCCUGCAGACCACUGGAUGAAGGUGGGCUCUGUGACCUGUGAGGCCACCCAGGGCUCCCAGACUCUGGUCUCAGAGCCACUCAGGAGAGACCAGUGUUCCCAGUCCUGACCUGACUAACUGUGACUUUCAUGCUGGUCUUACUUUCAGUCUGCAAUCUGUAGCUUUUUAAAAAAAUCUAAUUUCUUCUCUCAUUUUUAAUUGCUUUGUUUAAAGUUGGUUUUAAAGUUUUAAAGAAUAAAAAAAUAUCUACAUUAAA